rnacentral:rRNA from 1 species
GACGAACGCUGGCGGCGUGCUUAACACAUGCAAGUCGAACGGAAAGGCCCUGCUUUUGUGGGGUGCUGGAGUGGCAAACGGGUGAGUAACCCGUGAGUAACCUGCCCUUGACUUUGGGAUAACUUCAGGAAACUGGGGCUAAUACCGGAUAGGAGCUCCUGCUCCAUGGUGGGGGUUGGAAAGUUUCGGCGGCUGGGGAUGGACUCGCGUCUUAUCAGCUUGUUGGUGGGGGAGUGGCUUACCAAGGCUUUGACGGGUAGCCGGCCUUCGGGGGUGACCGGCCGCCUUGGUGCUGCGGUGCGGCCCAGACUCCUCCGGGAGGCAGCAGUGGGGAAUAUUGCACCAUGGGCGGAGGCAUGAUGCAGCAACGCCGCGUGCGGGAUGAAGGCCUUCGGGUUGUAGACCGCUUUCGCCUGUGACGAAGCGUGAGUGACGGUAAUGGGUAAAGAAGCACCGGCUAACUACGUG